GACGAACGCUGGCGGCGUGCUUAACACAUGCAAGUCGAACGGAAAGGCCCUGCUUGCAGGGUACUCGAGUGGCGAACGGGUGAGUAACACGUGGGUGAUCUGCCCUGCACUUCGGGAUAAGCUUGGGAAACUGGGUCUAAUACCGGAUAGGAGCCAUCUUUAGUGUGGUGGUUGGAAAGUUUUUUCGGUGUAGGAUGAGCUCGCGGCCUAUCAGCUUGUUGGUGGGGUAAUGGCCUACCAAGGCGGCGACGGGUAGCCGGCCUGAGGGGGUGUACGGCCACGUUGGGACCGAGUUACAGCCCAAACCCCUACUGGGGCAAGCGGGGGGGAAUUAUGACCAAGGGGGGAAAGCCGGUUGCAGCGACCCCGCGUGGGGGGUGAGGGCCUUCGGGUUGUAACAGCCUUUCGCAAGGGACGAAGCUUUGUUGGGCGGGGACCAGAAAAAGAACCACCGGUAAACAACGG
rnacentral:rRNA from 1 species